rnacentral:rRNA from 1 species
GACGAACGCUGGCGGCGUGCCUAAUACAUGCAAGUCGAGCGGACGAAUCGAAAGCUUGCUUUUGAUUCGUUAGCGGCGGACGGGUGAGUAACACGUGGGCAACCUGCCCUGUAGACGGGGAUAACACCGAGAAAUCGGUGCUAAUACCGGAUAACACGAAAUGUCGCAUGACGUUUCGUUGAAAGACGGCGCAAGCUGCCGCUACAGGAUGGGCCCGCGGCGCAUUAGCUAGUUGGUGAGGUAACGGCUCACCAAGGCGACGAUACGUAGCCGACCUGAGAGGGUGAUCGGCCACACUGGGACUGAGACACGGCCCAGACUCCUACGGGAGGCAGCAGUAGGGAAUCUUCCGCAAUGGACGAAAGUCUGACGGAGCAACGCCGCGUGAGCGAAGAAGGCCUUCGGGCCGUAAAGCUCUGUUGUUAGGGAAGAACAAGUAACGCAGUAACUGGCGUUACCGUGACGGUACCUAACGAGAAAGCCACGGCUAACUACGUG